rnacentral:rRNA from 1 species
ACCGGAUAAGUCUUUACGGAGAAAGCUUUAUGCACCAUUGGAUGAGCCCGCACUUGAUUAGUUUGUUGGUAGGGUAAUGGCCUACCAAGACUAUGAUCAAUAGCUGAUUUGAGAGGAUGAUCAGCCACAUUGGGACUGAGACACGGCCCAAACUCCUACGGGAGGCAGCAGUGGGGAAUCUUGCACAAUGGAGGAAACUCUGAUGCAGCGAUGCCGCGUGAGUGAAGAAGGCCUUUGGGUUGUAAAGCUCUUUCGUCGGGGAAGAAAAUGACUGUACCCGAAUAAGAAGGUCCGGCUAACUUCGUGCCAGCAGCCGCGGUAAUACGAAGGGACCUAGCGUAGUUCGGAAUUACUGGGCUUAAAGAGUUCGUAGGUGGUUGAAAAAGUUGGUGGUGAAAUCCCAGAGCUUAACUCUGGAACUGCCAUCAAAACUUUUUAGCUAGAGUAUGAUAGAGGAAAGCAGAAUUUCUAGUGUAGAGGUGAAAUUCGUAGAUAUUAGAAAGAAUACCAAUUGCGAAGGCAGCUUUCUGGAUCAUUACUGACACUGAGGAACGAAAGCAUGGGUAGCGAAGAGGAUUAGAUACCCUCGUAGUCCAUGCCGUAAACGAUGUGUGUUAGACGUUGGAAAUUUAUUUUCAGUGUCGCAGGGAAACCGAUAAACACACCGCCUGGGGAGUACGACCGCAAGGUUAAAACUCAAAUGAAUUGACGGGGACCCGCACAAGUAGUGGAGCAUGUGGUUUAAUUCGAAGAUACGCGCAG